GCGGAUGUGGUGGAAUAGGUAGACACAAGGGACUUAAAAUCCCUCGGCACAUGAGCUGUGCGGGUUCGAGUCCCGCCAUCCGCACCA
rnacentral:tRNA from 1 species